UUUUAGCCCCGAUGGAAACGGCAUCCUGUUGUGGCGGUGUUCGCCAUGGCAGAUAUAGUGUACAGCGGGAUUAGCU
rnacentral:sRNA from 1 species